UUAUAUGCAAGUAUGCCUCUUUUGAAAAAAAAUAGUUAACCUUGCCUUGACCCAAAGUAACAUGCUGUAUGACUAUCAAUGGGUAGAAUCAAGUUCAUAGAUGCUCUUGAACAGCUUACAAACAAGCACCAAUACGGGUGCCAGAUGUGGAGGAGGAUCUGUAGAUUCUUCUUUUUUGCAAUGAAAUUGUCAGUUUAUUUUCGACUUAUGAGUUUGAAUGUCCUUUUGGUAUAUUAAGAUCCGCUUACACUGGUUUCACAUUAACCGUUAAUAUCAAAAGGAAGUCAUAGAGUUACAAGUACCGUAAAGUUAACAGUACUUUGACUAUACAAAAUUUGAUUUAAGCAACUCGACGAAGCAUGAAUUUCUUUAUUACCUUAUGUUUGAGUUAUACCAUUUACUCACCUAACCAAUCAUCAAUUAAGACUGAUUACUUGACUAACAUUGUCA
rnacentral:lncRNA from 1 species